rnacentral:lncRNA from 1 species
GCGCAUCGGUUCAGUCAUGUUUCAAAUCAGCAACGUUCAGCCACAACUGUGUACUCAGUGAACUAACCUGAACAGACAUGACUCCACGGAUUAACUUGAAGGACAAUAUUAGUGAAACGUCAGAACUGUCCACUUGCGGCCGCGUCCUUUCCUCAAGGACUCCAGCUUCUGUUCGUAUGUUAAUCUAUUGGUGGAUUUGAAACAAUACUUAAGAAUCAUCCAAUGUUUUUCCUUGAGAUGAACACAAU